ensembl:piRNA 21ur-13534 ncRNA
UAGUGAUAAAUACUGGAAAUA